rnacentral:lncRNA from 1 species
UCGGUCUCUGUUGUUUCUUGUGCUGGGAUCAAGAAGGUAAACAUCUUCCCAAUAUAAAUUUUGAUUUUGAUUACGAGUCUUAAUUUAUCGCAUUUCUCUCUAUUAGAUUCAGUAUGCUUAGCUCUUGGUAAAGUAAAUUCACUUAUAUCACCAUGGCAGGUCCAGCACAAAUCAAUUUUGAACAAUAAAAAUAAAAAGAUCUAGCAAAAAACAAGGAGGAAACCAAUAGUAAAGACUGGGAGCAUGGAACCAAGGCAUUUUACUAUGGCAGGGGAAAGUAACAAUCAAGUUAAGUUCCUUUACAUACUAUGAACAAAAGUUGCAUGAAGAAUAGUGAUGCUCAGACGUUGUUGGUGCAGAUCAGCUCCACGAUCAAGGUGCCUGACGGCUGGAAGGUGGACAUUAGUGAUGGCAUACACCAUGGUUGCAAACUCUAGCAUUAAGAUACACACAACACAGCUAAAUUAGUUGACGAUCAAGUCAUAAGACUAUGUAUGCUUUAGCUAGGAUCUAAAAGGACUGAAUAAAAUGGAUUGCCCUGAGCGAUGUGAGCAAGUCGACGUCGAUAUUAACCUCGUCCAUGAUAUAUUGGUAGACUGACAGCUUGCCAAGACCACCUGCGGUGUGUUAUGAAAGAGAUACAAAAAUAUGUUAAUAGUUUUGAAAAGUAUUGUUG